UAAACAGAUAAGGAGCAUGAAGGGGCUUUGGGGCUCUCUAUUGGGACUUUUGUGCACCCAUAUUUGCUAUGUGAGAGGAAUUCAGGUGGAGCAGAGUCCUCCAGCCUUGCUUCUCCAGGAGGGAGAAAACGCCACGCUGCAAUGCAACUUUUCUAAUGCUGUGAACAAUGUGCAGUGGUUUUGCCAAUAUCCAAGAGGACACCUCAUCAACCUGUUUUACAUUGCUUCAGGAACAAAGCACAAUGGGAGACUCACAGCAACAACCAUCAACAAGGAACGCCGCACCUUGCUGUAUGUCUCCUCUGCCCAGAGCACAGACUCUGCCACUUACUUCUGUGCUGUGGUAGAUGUGAAUACAGGAAGCACAAACAGACUCACCUUUGGGAAAGGGACCCAGCUGAUGAUCCAUCCUCAUAUCAGAAACCCUGAGCCCUCGGUAUACCAGAUGAAAGACCCGAAAUUCCGAAACACCUCCAUCUGCCUGUUCACUGAUUUUGAUUCUCAGAUCAAUGUGACGCAGGGGUCUGAAGCCAUGGAUUCUGAAGUAUUUUACUCUGGAAAAACUGUGCUGGACAUGAGGUCCAUAGACUUCAAGAGCAAUGGUGCAGUGGCCUGGAGCAAAAAGACUGAUUUUGAGUGCACUGGUGUCUUCCAGGAGAAAGUCUCCCUCCCUAGCUCAGAUCAUUCUUGCAAUGCCAAGUUGGUAGAGAAAAGCUUUGAAACAGAUAUGAACCUAAACUUUCAAAACCUGAUAGUGAUCGGGCUCCGCAUCCUCCUCCUCAAAGUGGCGGGAUACAACGUGUUCAUGACGCUGCGGCUGUGGUCCAGCUGAGGUUGGCAAGAUGAUAAGAAGAUCCUGAGCUCCCUCCUUCAUCCCUCCUCUUCUACCCCAUGGAGAAGAAGGCUCCCCUCAUGUCUCUGGCCUCCACGGAAUCCCACCUGAAUUUGCAAUGAAGCUUGCUGGAUUGCUGCUAAUGACUACUGCUUUCCUUCUGUUCCCUCAUGGCGGCUGACAUAGUCAAGUUCAUGUUCACAGCAAAUGGGGAGGCUGCGGCAGCGUCUCCUGGCUGUGGAGGACCUCCCUGCCCUCUCCAAAGACUGCUUCUGUGCUUCCAUUGAAUAAUGGGACUUCCAUAGCAUCUCCAGGAACUAGCAUUCCUAGAAAAUGUUAUGAGCAUUGAUGGAUUUUAUUCAAUAGUGUUCAUAAAAAUACCUUUAUUACUGUUUCUCAAGAUGUGGGGAAAGAUGAUCUCAUUGUCUAGGCCCUCCCUGCUCCGCUAUGUAUCCAAGCUAUACUUUGGAUCAUUCUGCUGCCUUUGACUUCAUUAAAAGUUACUUAGAGACCAGAAA